AGCAGCCGCGGUAAUUCCAGCUCCAAUAGCGUAUAUUAAAGUUGUUGCAGUUAAAAAGCUCGUAGUUGAAUUUCGAGACCGGCUUACUGGUCGUGCUAUUGUACGUACUGGUAUAAUCGGUUUCUCCUUUCUGACGAACUAUAAUGCCAUUAAUUUGGUGUUUUAGGGAAUCAGGACUGUUACUUUGAAAAAUUAGAGUGUUUGAAGCAGGCUCACGCUUGAAUACAUUAGCAUGGAAUAACGGAAUAGGACGUUUGAUUCUAUUUUGUUGGUUUCUAGGAUCGACGUAAUGAUUAAUAGGGAUAGUUGGGGGCAUUAGUAUUCAAUUGUCAGAGGUGAAAUUCUUGGAUUUAUUGAAGACUAACUACUGCGAAAGCAUUUGCCAAGGAUGUUUUCAUUAAUCAAGAACGAAAGUUAGGGGAUCGAAGACGAUCAGAUACCGUCGUAGUCUUAACCAUAAACUAUGCCGACUAGGGAUCGGAUGAUGUUAAUUUUUUAAUGUACUCA
rnacentral:rRNA from 1 species